CCGCCUGGGAACUACGAGCUAAGCUUAAAACCAAAGGACUUGACGGUACCCCAUAUCCCCCUAGAGGAGCCUGUCCUAUAAUCGAUAAUCCACGUUUAACCUUACCAUUUUUAGCUUAUCAGCCUGUAUACCUCCGUCGUCAGCUUACCACGUGAGCGAAACCUAGUGAGCUUAAUGCCUCUACACCAAUACGUCAGGUCAAGGUGCAGUAAAUGAAAUGGAAAGAGAUGGGCUACACUCUCUAAUCUAGAAGAUACGAAAAACUAACUAUGAAACCUAGUUGGAAGGCGGAUUUAGUAGUAAAAAGAAACAAUAGAGUUCUUUUUAACCCGGCACUGGGGUGUGUACACACCGCCCGUCACCCUCC
rnacentral:rRNA from 1 species